rnacentral:rRNA from 1 species
UAGUCCACGCCCUAAACGAUGCUAACUCGAUGUUUGGGUAUAGACUUGAGCAUCCAAGGGAAACCGUUAAGUUAGCCACCUGGGGAGUACGUCGGCAACGAUGAAACUCAAAGGAAUUGACGGGGUCCGCACAAGCGGUGGAGCAUGUGGUUUAAUUCGAUGAUACGCGAGGAACCUUACCAGGGCUUAAAUGUAAGUUGCAUAGAGUAGAGAUAUUCUUUUCUUCGGACUACUUACAAGGUGCUGCAUGGUUGUCGUCAGCUCGUGCCGUGAGGUGUCAGGUUAAGUCCUAUAACGAGCGCAACCCUUACCGUUAGUUGCCAGCAUGUAAAGAUGGGGACUCUAGCGGGACUGCCAGUGCAAACUGUGAGGAAGGUGGGGAUGACGUCAAAUCAUCACGGGCCCUUACGUCCUGGGGCUACACACGUGCUACAAUGGUAUAGACAGAGAGCAGCCACUACGCGAGUAGGGANCGGAAUCUAUAAACUAUAUCUCAGUUCGGGAUC